AUCUGGCUUCCUAUCGGUUAAAUGAGAUUUGCAUUUAUUAUAAAAGUUGUAGGCUAUAAAAUUCCCUACAACUUUUGUUUGAACUUUUUUUUCAUACAACCAACCGUUUUGAAGGUAGAGCGCGAAGAGUGCACAUCGUACAGUCAUAUACGGCCUAAUGCAAGGUCAAGCGUGAGUUAUGGUUAUCAGUACGUUAUAAAGUCAAUUAUUUACUUGGAAAUUAUAAUUAUUAAACAAUGCCUAUUAUUUAUGUACUAACUAUUAAUUAUUUAUAUUUAAUUAAAGUAAGUAACUUGAUUAUUUAUAUAUAAUUAUUCAUAUUUAACUAUUUAAGUAUAAAAUAUUAUUAAUUCUGGAUUAUAUAUUUUAGUUUUAUUUCAAGUUAAAAUGAUAGUAAGAGUAUAUAUUUUACACAUAUUUUUAUUUAUUAUUAAAUACGGCAUAAUAUACAUUUAUCAAAAUGUGAGUUCAAAUAUCAAAAGUAUCUUUGUUGAUUUUAAUUGUAAUGAAAUUGGAAAUGGAAGCUAAUUAUCUUCUUCUUCGUCGUCUUCUUCUUCUUGUCGCUCAAAAAUGUUCGAUUCAUUGUCAUCAUCCUCAUUAUCUGUCAUGUUCAUCUCCAAACCUUCCAGAAUAUCGGGAUCAUAUGUAUUUUCUUCAUCGGGAUUACUUGGAUACAGUGAAGCGUUGAGGCAAGCUUGUCCGUUGCACUGGCCGCAAGCUAAAGAACAUUGUAGCCCUGAUUUUCUGCAUCCACAGCGGGAACCACAACCAUUUUUGCAAUUGCAAAAUAUUACGUUUAGUAGUUCGGCUGGUGCUGGAGGUAAUAACGUUCGUAUGGGCUCCAGGAUUUCAUUUUCAAGCAUCCAGCCCCAUUCUUGAGGUUCUAAGUCCUUCCCUAACCACGUUUGAAUCUGGUAGUAGACACGUUUUAUGUGUUGAUGAGCUGCUACACUUGUUGGUGGAAGUGUUGACAGUUGUACAGGUUUAUUUAGUUUUGUAAAUUUGAUGAAUUGCGUGUAGCGGAAAUGAUUAAUGUUGUCCUCAGAUUUAUAUUUUAUACUUAAAUAGUUAAAUAUGAAUAAUUAUAUAUAAAUAAUCAAGUUACUUACUUUAAUUAAAUAUAAAUAAUUAAUAGUUAGUACAUAAAUAAAAGGCAUUGUUUAAUAAUUAUAAUUUCCAAGUAAAUAAUUGACUUUAUAACGUACUGAUAACCAUAACUCACGCUUGACCUUGCAUUAGGCCGUAUAUGACUGUACGAUGUGCACUCUUCGCGCUCUACCUUCAAAACGGUUGGUCGUAUGAAAAAAAAGUUUAAACAAAAGUUGUAGGGAAUUUUAUAGCCUACAACUUUUAUAAUAAAUGCAAAUCUCAUUUAACCGAUAGGAAGCCAGAUAUUCGCGAAAAACCGAUUUUUGUGACCUUUGACCUUGAAUAUCUUGAGACGCGGACACGAUAACGAUUGUGACUUUUGAGAGAACAUUUAGAAUGACAAAACAAAGGUUCAUACCAAUUUGCAGCUUAUUAUCUUUCAUUCCGAGGUUGACCCCUUUUUUUACCUAAUAUGAUUGGGCUAUAAAAUCGAAUCAAAAUCAACACACACACCAGGUAUUCUAUGAAUCUUAACCUACAGGUCCCUUCCAGUCAGUGUGACCAUCUAUAGUAGAAAUCUACUAUUGUAGUAGAUUUCGGGCCACCCAUGGUAGAUAAAUUUUUCAUAGUAGAUUUCUGAUUUGUUUGUCUGUUAGAUACUAGAUGGCACUAUUCGCAAUGAGUUUAAAAAUUUGAAACCACCAAAACUCUGGCUCAGCCAACAUCGAAAAAUAUUCGCACAUUUCGAAAUUUGCCAAGCAAAUGCUAUGUUUGCCAUUGCCUAAUGUUAAAUGCGAAAGAAUAUUUUCCGAAAUCAAUAGAAUAAAAACAAAAGAUAGGAAUAGAUUCAUGAACAUAAAUGUUGCUUCGAUUCUAAAGAAGGAUUAAAGGAAGCUGGUGAAUGUAGCGAAUUUACUCCAGAUUCAGAAAAGUUGAAUAUGAUGAAUAAAAAUACACUUUAUGAAAAUAUGAAACUUUCUGAGAUAAAUAUAGGUAUGUACUUUUUUCAAUUUUAGGUAGACAACGUUAUUUUAUUGAUUUUCUAACUAUACUAUAUAUAUUUUUUAUUAUAUGUUGUAUUUUUGUAUAUAUUUUAAUAUGUGUAUAUUUUUUAGAUAUUAUUUUUACACUUUUGAAUGUAUAGGGGCCAAUAAUAUGUUAUGAUACAUAAAUUCACAUUAUGUUAUAAUGCUAUGAAUAAACCCGUUAUUUAUUUAUUUUAUAUUUGAAUCAGUAUUUUGUCAGUUUUAAAUAUCAUUGAUAAAUACCUACAAAUAUGGAUAUGCGCAUGCGCAAAGCUGAUAGUAGAUUUCUAUCAUCCUCGUAGUAGCACAGAUUACUAACCACAGAUUACUGUCUGUGGUAGUAGAUUCGCUUUUUGAAAGAUGGUCACACUACUCACACUGCUUCCAGUUCUUUCUUCAGUUCACAGAUCCACACAUAGAACAAAAAUGGGUGGAACAACAACCCAACAUGUUUACAGUUCAUGAGAACUUUUGAAAGGCUUUUGCUACAGUUUUCCAAAGGAUGACAAAUUAAGGGAAUUGUAGAUGAAAGCUGUAGGAAGAAUUGAUUUCCACCCUUCUUCCUCGUUGAAAAUAUGCAGUAUGGAUUAAACAUACCAUCAUGCGGUUUUACGAAGAUCUGCAGAGGAAUUGAGAUAGCCAUAAAAAACUUUGAGUGUGACGGAUAAUAGAGUUCCUGCUGAAAACAAAUUUCUUAAUGCUUUUAUCACUGCCAAUGCUUAACAUUAUUACCCACUGAUGACUAAUUUAUUUCCUGAAUUAGAUGACCAUUUUUAUGAAUCAUCCCCUGUGGGUGUUAAUAAUGGAUUUCUAUUGAUCAAGGAGAUAGUAAAAGCCUAUUUCAAAACUAGGGUUUUCAAUCUUGCGAAAAAAUGUACUCAAAAAUACAAGGUCAAUCUGUUCGACAGCAGCUUACAAAAUUUAUUUUAUUUAAUCACCAAUAAUGUAUAUUAGAUAUAUUUCCCAUUCCUGCAUGAUGAAUUUGUCAAUUUUAAGUUCAGAGUCUCAAUUCAGAAAAACUAAUUUUUAAUAUUAUAUUUUCCAUUCACCACUGAUUUCAGGAUAAAUUUCUCCAGUUGAAAUUCUUAUUGUAAACUUCUCGAAUGUUUAAAUUGUCAAGAAUUAUUUUGUAUAGUAUUUUAGGCUUAAUUGCCACUAGUUACCAAUUGCACUUGUGGAUCAGAAAUAAAGACUUCAUAAUAUCAAUGACUUGCAGAACAUUGAUUAAUUUUCUAUUGUACAGUUUUUACUAUAUCAAAUAUAUAUUCUUUAUUUGUUAUAAAUUUCAUUGAAUAAUUCCAUUCAAGCUUAAACACUAGGUUUUACGCAAUAUACUCAUUAUCUAUCACUAUGUUCGUGGAGGAGUAAAAUAUAAUUUUGAUACUAA